UGGGGAAUCUUGGACAAUGGGCGCAAGCCUGAUCCAGCCAUGCCGCGUGAGUGAUGAAGGCCUUAGGGUUGUAAAGCUCUUUUUGCCGGGGACGAUAAUGACGGUACCCGGAGAAUAAGUCCCGGCUAACUUCGUGCCAGCAGCCGCGGUAAUACGAAGGGGACUAGCGUUGUUCGGAAUCACUGGGCGUAAAGCGCACGUAGGCGGAUUUGUAAGUCAGGGGUGAAAUCCCGGGGCUCAACCUCGGAACUGCCUUUGAUACUGCGGAUCUCGAGUCCGAUAGAGGUGAGUGGAAUUCCUAGUGUAGAGGUGAAAUUCGUAGAUAUUAGGAAGAACACCGGUGGCGAAGGCGGCUCACUGGAUCGGUACUGACGCUGAGACGCGAAAGCGUGGGGAGCAAACAGGAUUAGAUACCCCUGUAGUCCCUGAGCGGGCUGGCAAGGCGCAU
rnacentral:rRNA from 1 species